CAGUGGACUGUCUGACUGACAGAAUGUGUUUUGGUCGUGAUGAGGAAAGACAACAUUAUGAUCGCUGCUGGAUUGGCUUUCCUGAUUCUGUGUGUACAGAACAUAGACUGCACCUCAGACAAAUCUACGCAGGAAGGGACCCCUUGGAAUUAUGAUUAUACCAGAUACCAUCCAGUGUCAGAG